rnacentral:rRNA from 1 species
UGGCCGCGGGAUUGAAUCUUGCACAAUGGGCGAAAGCCUGAUGCAGCAACACCGUGUGAGCGAUGAAGGCCCUAGGGUCGUAAAGCUCUGUUGUUAGGGACGAAGGGCGAAGGGUUAAUAGCCCUUAGCCUGACGGUACCUUUCGAGGAAGCCCCGGCUAACUACGUGCCAGCAGCCGCGGUAAUACGUAGGGGGCGAGCGUUGUCCGGAAUUAUUGGGCGUAAAGAGCGUGUAGGCGGCUUGGUAAGUCUGCUGUGAAACCUUGGGGCUCAACCCCAAGCGUGCAGUGGAUACUGUCAAGCUAGAGGAUGGUAGAGGCCAGUGGAAUUCCCGGUGUAGCGGUGAAAUGCGCAGAUAUCGGGAGGAACACCAGUAGCGAAGGCGGCUGGCUGGGCCAUUCCUGACGCUGAGACGCGAAAGCUAGGGGAGCGAACAGGAUUAGAUACCCUGGUAGUCCUAGCCGUAAACGAUGAACACUAGGUGUGGGGGGAGUCGAAUCCCUCCGUGCCGAAGCCAACGCGUUAAGUGUUCCGCCUGGGGAGUACGGCCGCAAGGCUAAAACUCAAAUGAAUUGACGGGG